ACUCACGCACUCGCGCGCCGGCCUUCCAGCUGUCUGUGUCCGGGGCGGGGACCGGCUUGGCACCGACCGCUGCGGGCCGGGCAGAGCGCACCGCCCGCUGUCAGCGCUCGCCGGCUCCUCGCGCCCCUGCCCGCUGCGCUCUGCCCAGAGCAGAAGCCCGGCCGGCCGGCCCACGGGCGGGAGGACGGGCCUCCGCUCGGGCGGAGGCGGCGCGGUGGCUGAUCAGAGCGCGGAGGGCCUCGCCGGGGCCGGGAGCUGGGCGCGGUCCUGCUCAGCCCAGCUCGCCGCGCGCCGGCCCUCGGCGCCCGGGUUCUGCGGAUCAGGAGUUGAAACCAGCACCUUCCCUUUCUCUGAGUCCUGCCUCCUUCUGCAGAAGGGAGCUCAAAAGAACUUUGUUGUUUUGCCUUUUACUCUGGGGUGAAAGCGGCAGAUGAUGAGAUACGUGAGAUGGUGAAAUUAUUUGCUUCUGCCAUGCUGGGGUCACGGGUGGAUCCCCCUAAACUCUCGGUGGCCCCCUCAGUAGUUUUGGAAGAGGACCAAGUCCUUGUCUCUCCAGCAGUGGAUCUGGAAGCAGGAUGCCGGCUCAGGGACUUCACUGAGAAAAUAAUGAAUGUCAAAGGAAAAGUAAUUCUGUCAAUGCUGGUUGUCUCAACUGUGAUCAUUGUGUUUUGGGAAUUUAUCAACAGCCCAGAAGGCUCUUUCUUGUGGAUGUAUCACUCAAAAAACCCAGAAGUUGAUGACAGCAGUGCUCAGAAGGGCUGGUGGUUUCUGAGCUGGUUUAACUAUGGGAUCCACAAUUAUCAACAAGGGGAAGAAGACAUAGACAAAGAAAAAGGAAGAGAGGAGACCAAAGGAAGCAAAAUGACACAACAGAGCUUCGGCUAUGGGACUGGUUUAAUCCAAAAUAUAAUGAGCAUUACUUGGAGGAGUUCAUAACAUCUGCUAAUAGGUACUUCAUGGUUGGCCACAAAGUCAUAUUUUACAUCAUGGUGGAUGAUGUCUCCAAGGUGCCGUUUAUAGAGCUGGGUCCUCUGCAUUCCUUCAAAAUGUUUGAGGUCAAGCCAGAGAAGAGGUGGCAAGACAUCAGCAUGAUGCCUAUGAAGAUCACUGGGGAGCACAUCUUGGCCCACAUCCAACAUGAGGUCGACUUCCUCUUCUGCAUGUAUGUGGGCCAGGUCUUCCAAGACCAUUCUGGGGUGGAGACCCUAGGCCAGUCAGUGGCUCAGCUACAGGCCUGGUGGCACAAGGCAGAUCCCUAUGACUUUACCUAGGAGAGGCGGAAAGACUCAGCAGGAUACAUUCAAUUUGGCCGGGGGAUUUUUAUUACCAUGCAGCCAUUUUUGGAGGAACACCCAUUCAGGUUCUCAACAUCACCCAGGAGUGCUUUAAGGGAAUCCUCCUGGACAAGAAAAAUGACACAGAAGCAGAGUGGCAUGAUGAAAGCCACCUAAACAAGUAUUUCCUUCUCAAUAAAUCCUCUAAAAUCUUAUCCCUAAAAUACUGCUGGGAUUAUCAUAUAGGCCUGCCUUCAGAUAUUAAAACUGUCAAGUGAUCGUGGCAGACAAAAGAGUAUAAUUUGGUUAGAAAUAACGUCUGACUUCAAAUUGUGCCAGUAGAUUUCUGAAUUUGAGAGAGAAGUAUUCUGGCUACUUCCUCAGAAAAGUAACACUUAAUUUUAACUUCAAAAAAUACUAAUGAAACACCAACAGGGCAAAAACAUACCAUUCCUCCUUGUAACUUGGGGCUUUGUAAUGUGGAAGAAUGAAUCUAGGGUAAUCAGACAUAAAUUCCCAGUGAUUUCUUAUCUAUUCUGGGUUUGGGGGAAAUACUAUCAACUGAACCAAAAAUAACUUGUCAUAGGCAGAGAUAAAGCCAGAAACACUCUACACAUGCCAGAUGACAUCUGGAGCAAAGGGUGCUAAGGGAAGCGUUUGGCAGCAAGAUAUGAUUGUAAGGGGUUGUCCCUUGAGUUCAAUGUCUGCCUAUUUCUGAUGGGUCUAAAGCAACGUGGAGUUACUGUGCAGCAGAGCUCUCAGUAAAGACACCAUUUGCCUUGGCAAUCCUCAAAAAGCUUCAACAGCAGAUUGCUUCAGACCAUCUGUAGUCCGUCCUUUUCUCAUCUGGAUGUUGUUUGGCUUCUGUGCGAAAGAUUGGUGGAGUGUCCCAGUAGAUAUCAUGGUGGUGUGUGAUCAGAGUCCCAAGGAACCUGAAUGAGCCAAGGUGCCCAGCAUGAAGUCAAAACAAAGCCUUGACAUGAGUUUGCCAUGAAAUAGCGAAGAGAGAGGGGAAGAGAGGAGCCAAUCACUGUGGGGCAGUGCCACCCUGAGGGCACUUAGGGUAUGGGGUUGGUGCUUAAAUACAUCACAGAUCCAGGUACUGAAUGGGAGGAAGUGUGGGUGAUUUCCAAUCUCAUUGACCUUAUGUUCAGGGACUUGAACGGAAGAUGUUUCUUGUGUUGCCUAAGUGGUAUUCAGUCUACCAGACUCUGCAACUUACAUCUUCAAAUCCUUGGUGAAGAGAUGUGGAUGGUGUCAGAGAAGGCAAAGGCCUGCAGUGGAUUGAAGAGGCUUGCAAGCAGUUCUGUUUCUAGGAUGUGGGCUUCAUCAGAAGACACUUGGUCACCACUUAGCUAGUCUAAACCUCAGGGUUCCUCAGCCCAUCAUACCCCAACUUGGAGGGCUGACAUCAAGGAGUAGACUGGAGAAACAGCCCUCCCAUCAAGUAACCUCUUGUUCUCUCCUGCUCCAUCUGCACUAUGGAAGUGUAACAAUUAGACAUACUUGGCAAAAUGGCUAAUUGAUUUGGUAACAGAAGCAUGAGCCAUAACAAUGGGAGAUGUAGUUAUCAUGACUGAACAGCUUAACAUUCAAUUUCCUUCUCUAAGAGAAGCUGUGAAAUCCUACAUAUUAUUUAAAGUUAACCAAAUCAAUGUAAAGGGAGUUAGGAGACAACGUGUACCUAUGCACAUAUAUUUAUAUUUUGCUUGUGUUCCAGUCUAGGUCAUUUGUUUCCAUUUUCAAGCAAUUUAUUUGAAGAGCCAUUGCACUAGCCUGAUGUAUACUGCAAUGAGCUUCUUUGACAAAAUGAAACUUAGGUUUUUCUCGACCAUUUCACCGUGCCUCCUACUUCAUUUCUUGCCAGAAAAUCUCACAUCCAACAAAACAAAACAAAAACCCUGAAUUAAUGGGCUUUGAAAAGGAAAAAGCAGGGCUUUGAAAAAGUAGAUCACACAUCAGUUAAGACUCCUGCCUCACUAUUAGUCAGGUUGUCUUGGAUUCAGUCUGGAGUAGGCAGAGCUUAAGGGUUUUUAAGUCCUGACCCAAAGAAAUGAUCUAGCCUGAAAGUUUAGAGCAAAGGACUAAUGUUUACUUUUAAAGGAAUUUCUUGAUUUUUUAAAAAAACUUCAUUAAAGUUUAAAUCUCCAAUGGACAAAUUCAUAAUCUUGUUAAUCGUUAUUACUAAACUUUUUUAAAAAUUUCCCAAUUUACAAUUAAAUAAAUUAUUUUCUCAGUA